UUCACCGAUCUUCAAAAGGCCACAACCACAAUAGUGCAAGGAUCUGCUGAAGCAGUGGUUGUAAAGGCUCCGCGUGAGUGAUUCUGUGCAAGGGGAAUGAGAGUUCUAGAAAGAGGUUUGCAGGUUCAUUGGAACAAAUGUUCAAAAGGAAGAUGCACAGUAAGAAUUACAGUAAGAAGUUCAACUACGAGCCCAGACAUGAGGAUAAAAUUAAUUACAAUGUAAGUUCUUUGGUGUGUGAUCCAUUACAAUACAGGAAGUUUGUGGUUUAUGCCAUAAAAUUUCAGUUAAUAUUUGGUACAUGAAGUGAUGUAAGUCUGCCACACUGUUCGCAUUUGUAGCUUGCUUUGUUUAAUAAAUAGAUUGAUCUUAUUUUCUAUAAACUUUUUUAUUUAACCUACUAACUUCAAAUACAUUAUAUUUGAUCCUUCAAGGGGCAAAAUAGUUCAGCUCUUUGUUUUACAAGUUUGAGGGAU